UACGGGGGGGGCAAGCGUUGCUCGGAAUCACUGGGCGUAAAGGGUGCGUAGGCGGGUCUUUAAGUCAGGGGUGAAAUCCUGGAGCUCAACUCCAGAACUGCCUUUGAUACUGAGGAUCUUGAGUUCGGGAGAGGUGAGUGGAACUGCGAGUGUAGAGGUGAAAUUCGUAGAUAUUCGCAAGAACACCAGUGGCGAAGGCGGCUCACUGGCCCGAUACUGACGCUGAGGCACGAAAGCGUGGGGAGCAAACAGG
rnacentral:rRNA from 1 species